rnacentral:rRNA from 1 species
AUUGAACGCUGGCGGUAGGCCUAACACAUGCAAGUCGAACGCGAAAGUCCUUCGGGAUGAGUAGAGUGGCGGACGGGUGAGUAACGCGUAGGAAUCUAUCCUGUAGUGGGGGAUAACGUUUCGAAAGGAACGCUAAUACCGCAUACGCCCCAAGGGGGAAAGCGGGGGAUCUUCGGACCUCGUGCUAUAGGAGGAGCCUGCGUCGGAUUAGCUAGUUGGUGAGGUAAAGGCUCACCAAGGCGACGAUCCGUAGCUGGUCUGAGAGGAUGAUCAGCAAAACCGGAACGGAGACACGGUCCGGACUCCUACGGGAGGCAGCAGUGGGGAAUAUUGCGCAAUGGGCGAAAGCCUGACGCAGCCAUACCGCGUGUGUGAAGAAGGCCUUCGGGUUGUAAGGCACUUUCAGUGGGGAGGAAAAGCUGGUGGCUAAUAUCCAUCGGCCGUGACGCUACCCACAGAAGAAGCACCGGCUAAUUCCGUGCCAGCCGCCGCCGUAA